rnacentral:misc_RNA from 1 species
GAGAGCUCAAGCCACCUACAACUGGUUAGUUAAACCUUCCUUUGGAAAUGUUGCGUGCAAUUGAUUAUCCUAAUAGUAUCUAUUUUUAACUACUCAUAUUUUUGUUCCUUAAAUGUAAAACAUUUUCUUUUUUAAGGCUUCUCGUUGGAGUGGUUGAGAGAAUUGAGUCAAUCAUGAGAGAUUUUCUUCUUUCAUGGGGAAGGUAAGGUAGUAAGUCGUAUUUUGAGUUAAUUGGGAGACCUUUUGUAAGCCUAAGUUUUUGGGUGGGAUGGAGGGUUAUUAUAUAUUG